GUUUGAGGUGAAAGUAUUUUUGAAAGAUCUAUUAAGAAUUAUCAGCGGGAAAAAUAAAGAAAAUGGGUAAAAUCUGACUCAAAUAUCAAAGCCCAGUUUAAAACUCAAGGCUUUCAAGUGGUACCUGCACACUAUUAUACAUAAAAUAGAUGGGUAACAAGGAUCUACUGUAUAGCACAGAGAAAUUUACUCAAUAGUGGAUAAUAACCUAUAUGGGAAAAGAGUCUGAAAAGGAAUGGAUAUGAUUUACUUUGCUAUACACCUGAAAUUAACACAAUUUUAUAAAUCAACUAUACUCCAAUAAAAUAAAAAUAAAUAAACCCUUUCAUUAAUCCUUUCCUCCCCCAUUCACCCAGAACACUUUGUACCACUAUCCUAGUGCUCACCAUGGUCCCUCCUCAAUAUGUUAUCUUUGGAGGACAGGAAUUGGAUCUCUGUUCUCUUAGCCUGUCACCAGCUCUCCAAGACUGACAUUCAAAGAACUGUUACUGGAUUGAACUGAAUGGAGUGAAUACUAUAGGAAACUAUGAUGAAACCGCUUGUUUGUCAAGAUGUGGAUCAUCAACAGAAGCAAAACUUAUUAUCAAGGUUCCCAAGUGAUGAAUGAUGAAGGGCAUAUGGAGAGAGCGUCUCCAUCAGACUUGCUCUUUGAGUGGCACCAUGACCAGGACACCCCCUACCUGUCUGCAUUAGCCAGAAAGCACAAGGGCAAGGGGAAAGAUGCCAAGAUGACGCCACACUCCCUGGAGGAUAUGAAAGGUAAAACUCGAUGUAAAUUAUUUUCAUUUACCUGAUUUACCCAUAUGCCCAACAAUGGCAAGAUCCUCUCACAGAAGAAAGAGGGGCUAGAGAAUAGAGUGAUUUGGCGUGCUCUAUAAUUUUCAGUUACUUUUAGUUUUUCUCUUUUCUUUUUAGUUAUUCAGGACCUCGAGGUAUAAAACAGCAUUUUGACUUUCUUUAGCGGAAUGUCAAAAGGAGUCUCCCAUGACAGAGUACUACUAGCUCUUCGCCCUCCCAGUUUAAUAACAUAAUUUUAUGUGAUCUUUCCCUUCUUUUUUCUGCUUAAGAUCUAGGCUCUUUAUAGAAGCCUAGAUCAGAUUCACAGAUAUCAAACAUUUAAAAUAUGUAUAUCUUCCUUAUUAUCAUGAAAACCACUUCCAGGCUUAAAUGUGUAGUAGAAGGUUUUGUUUUGUUUUGUUUUGUUUUUGCAUGUGAAGAUACAAUUUGAAAAUGUCCCCCAAGUCUAAAUCAAUAAAAAACUACUCUCCCAAGAAGCUAUUGAACCA
rnacentral:lncRNA from 1 species